AGACAGACAGCUAUCCCUUUCUAGUCUGGGUCUCUAGAGGUGUCAAUCUGCAACAGUAAGUGGUGAAUUCUUCUGUCUAGCAUCAGUAUUUUGAUGGUGUCUUUCAACUUGCCAGAGAGAG